rnacentral:rRNA from 1 species
CCUACGGGAGGCAGCAGUGGGGAAUCUUAGACAAUGGGCGAAAGCCUGAUCUAGCCAUGCCGCGUGAGUGAUGAAGGUCUUAGGAUCGUAAAGCUCUUUCGCUAGGGAUGAUAAUGACAGUACCUAGUAAAGAAGCCCCGGCUAACUCCGUGCCAGCAGCCGCGGUAAUACGGAGGGGGCUAGCGUUGUUCGGAAUUACUGGGCGUAAAGCGUACGUAGGCGGAUCAGAAAGUAUGGGGUGAAAUCCCAGGGCUCAACCCUGGAACUGCCUCAUAAACUCCUGGUCUUGAGUUCGAGAGAGGUGAGUGGAAUUCCAAGUGUAGAGGUGAAAUUCGUAGAUAUUUGGAGGAACACCAGUGGCGAAGGCGGCUCACUGGCUCGAUACUGACGCUGAGGUACGAAAGUGUGGGGAGCAAACAGGAUUAGAUACCCUGGUAG